rnacentral:rRNA from 1 species
GACGAACGCUGGCGGCGUGCUUAACACAUGCAAGUCGUACGGUAAGGCCCUUUCGGGGGUACACGAGUGACGAACGGGUGAGUAACACGUGAGUAACCUGCCCACAACUUUGGGAUAACGCUAGGAAACUGGUGCUAAUACUGGAUAUGUGCUCCUGCUGCAUGGUGGGGGUUGGAAAGCUCCGGCGGUUGUGGAUGGACUCGCGGCCUAUCAGCUUGUUGGUGGGGUAGUGGCCUACCAAGGCGGCGACGGGUAGCCGGCCUGAGAGGGUGACCGGCCACAUUGGGACUGAGAUACGGCCCAGACUCCUACGGGAGGCAGCAGUGGGGAAUAUUGCACAAUGGGCGCAAGCCUGAUGCAGCAACGCCGCGUGCGGGAUGACGGCCUUCGGGUUGUAAACCGCUUUCAGCAGGGACGAAGCUUUUUGUGACGGUACCUGCAGAAGAAGCACCGGCUAACUACGUG